AGUCCCAGAACACGAGCAGAUAAAUUGAGGAAUGUUUACAAUCAAAAGUACAAAGCUGAUGAAUUUGUGAAGAAAGGUGUUUAUGACCAGAGAGAUGUGGACAACAUAAAUUCAAAUGAUUUAUAUGUCAGUCAAUUCAUACGGAAAACAGAAACAAUUCAGGAUGCAGCUGACAGGCUGCAUGAAGCUUUGAAAUGGAGAAAAGAAAUAGGUGUCAGGGACUUGACAGAGGCAUCAUUUCCACAAGAGUUUUGGGAUAUAGGUGCCAUGUAUUUUCAUAAAACAGAUAAAGAAGGACGGAAAAUUAUAUGGCUAAAAAUAGCAAAACACAAAAAAGACCCUAAUACACUUCCAUUGAUAAAGAAGUUCUUCGGCUUUUGUUUUGAGACUGCAUACAAUGAAAGUCCAGAGGAUGAACUAGUGCUGCUGUUUGAUAUGACAAACACAGGAAUUUCAAAUCUGGACAUGGAAAUGAUCAAAUUUGUCAUUACUUCCUUCAAAAUUUAUUAUCCUGCUUUACUUGGAUACCUUCUGAUCUAUGAAAUGCCAUGGUUGUUUAACGCUGCAUGGAAAGUUGUGAAAACCUGGUUAAGUCCCGAGGCCCAGAAGAAGCUGAAAUUUGUGAAUAAGAGUGAUAUACAGCAGUACAUAGCCAAGGAGAACCUGCCGGAGCAUAUGGGGGGCACUGAUACAUUUGAAUACAAAUAUGUACCUUCAGAAGAGAGAGAAAAUGAGGACAAUCAAAAUAGUGAUGCAUCAAAGAAAAGGGUAACAUUUGCUGACCAGGAUUCACCUUUGUAUCAAAGCUUCAAUGCAGAUUCCAUAGAGAACAGUUAUGUCAGAGUGAAUAAGAGUUCCCUGAGUAACAUAAACAGGAACGCAGGUCCUGGAGGGGGAAAUCAAGAGGGAAACUCGUUCAUCGGCAGACUUCUUACCAUUAGUCCUGCAGAGGAACUAAGGUUUGUCACAGAUGAAGAUGGCAAAGACGCUCAUGAUGUCAUUUCCCUUAAGAACACGCUGCCAUAUCCCAUUGCAUACAAAGUUAAGACAACAUCACCAGAGAAAUACAAAGUUCGACCAAGUUCUGGCAUUGUAAAACCAGGGUCUGUAGAGAAAGUCUAUGUUUAUCUUUAUCAAGAACAUCAUCUUGGAGUGGACAAAGACAAAUUCUUGAUCAUGGCUGUAGAACUUAAUGGUGAUCCCCCGGAUAAUAUGUCUGAGUACUGGAAAACUGUUCCCAGGGAAAACAUCAUGGAUCAUAGGUUACGCUGUGUGCAAGUGAAGCGUUCGGACAGCAGAUACUCCAGUGACACGGUAUCCGUUCUCUCUGCUGAUGACCAGAUUACAGCCAUCAACUCCAAGGUAGACUCACUAAUGGAAGGCCACCUCGCUCUACAGAAAUCCAUCAGACUCCUGAUUCUGUUACAAGUGCUGACACUCGUUCUGUUCAUUGUGUUCAUCCUCUACACGUAUUUGUAUGCCAGUUCAGGACCACCCCAGGUCAAGGCCGAGGAGGGGCCACAGAACUCCUCCACCGCUGACCGCUACUGCUCAGGGACACUCUUCUAAACAAGACACCACCUUAAUCCCACUGAACAUGUCAAAUUUGAUCAAAAAUGUGAACUUUAAAAUGAAAGAAUUUUUUUUAUCGAAAUGAAAAAUAAACUGAAAUUGGCAUGAUUCAAUUCAAGAAUGUUUUAGUUCAGAUGAAAAAAAAUCACCCUCAAAAUUAGUUUGAUUUAUUGAUGCCUCUUUAGAAAUUAUUUUAAUGAAUAUCUGUUUAAAGCUUUGUGAUUUUCGAGAAAUUGCAAAUUUUUGGGUAAUGCUUGCAGGGUACAUAUUAUGUUAUGUACAUCUCACAUCUGUAAACAUUGCUUCGUUAUUUUAUACCUGGCUUUUAAGACAUAACAAGCUGUGAUAUUAUUUAAGCUGUUGUAUUCAUGUUGUUACGUUGCUCAAUUUGAUGAGAAAAAAAUAAAUAAAAAGAAGGUU
rnacentral:misc_RNA from 1 species